GGAUCCAGACUUUGAUUCUGGCUCAGGAUGAACGCUAGCUACAGGCUUAACACAUGCAAGUCGAGGGGAAACGAUAGAGAAAGCUUGCUUUUUCUAGGCGUCGACCGGCGCACGGGUGAGUAACGCGUAUCCAACCUGCCCAUCACUUGGGGAUAACCUUGCGAAAGUAAGACUAAUACCCAAUGAUAUCUCAAGAAGACAUCUGAAUGAGAUUAAAGAUUUAUCGGUGAUGGAUGGGGAUGCGUCUGAUUAGCUUGUUGGCGGGGUAACGGCCCACCAAGGCGACGAUCAGUAGGGGUUCUGAGAGGAAGGUCCCCCACAUUGGAACUGAGACACGGUCCAAACUCCUACGGGAGGCAGCAGUGAGGAAUAUUGGUCAAUGGGCGAGAGCCUGAACCAGCCAAGUAGCGUGCAGGAAGACGGCCCUAUGGGUUGUAAACUGCUUUUAUAAGGGAAUAAAGUGAGCCUCGUGAGGCUUUUUGCAUGUACCUUAUGAAUAAGGACCGGCUAAUUCCGUGCCAGCAGCCGCGGUAAUACGGAAGGUCCGGGCGUUAUCCGGAUUUAUUGGGUUUAAAGGGAGCGUAGGCCGGAGAUUAAGCGUGUUGUGAAAUGUAGAUGCUCAACAUCUGCACUGCAGCGCGAACUGGUUUCCUUGAGUACGCACAAAGUGGGCGGAAUUCGUGGUGUAGCGGUGAAAUGCUUAGAUAUCACGAAGAACUUCGAUUGCGAAGGCAGCUCACUGGAGCGCAACUGACGCUGAAGCUCGAAAGUGCGGGUAUCGAACAGGAUUAGAUACCCUGGUAGUCCGCACGGUAAACGAUGGAUGCCCGCUGUUGGUCUGAAUAGGUCAGCGGCCAAGCGAAAGCAUUAAGCAUCCCACCUGGGGAGUACGCCGGCAACGGUGCAACUCAAAGGAAUUGACGG
rnacentral:rRNA from 1 species